UACAGAGGUCUCAAGCGUUGUUCGGAUUCAUUGGGCGUAAAGGGUGUGUAGGUGGCGCCGUAAGUCGGGUGUGAAAUUUCGGAGCUUAACUCCGAAACUGCAUUCGAUACUGCGGUGCUUGAGGACUGGAGAGGAGACUGGAAUUCACGGUGUAGCGGUGAAAUGCGUAGAUAUCGUAAGGAAGACCAGUGGCGAAGGCGGGUCUCUGGACAGUUCCUGACACUGAGGCACGAAGGCCAGGGGAGCAAACGGG
rnacentral:rRNA from 1 species